rnacentral:lncRNA from 1 species
GGAGAAAAAUGAUCUUAGAGAAGAGAAGGCAUCUCUUAAAUCUGAUAUUGAGAGCCUUAAUGCCCAAUAUCAACAAAGAGUAAGGACUAUGUAUCCAUGGGCCGGGAUGGAUCAUUCCAUGGUCAUGCAUCCAACUUCAUAUUCAUAUCCGAUGCCUGUUCCGGUUCCAGCUGGACCAGUUCCAAUGCAUCCAUCUAUGCAGCCCUAUCCUUUCUUCAGCAAUCGGGGAUGGAUCAUUCCAUGGUCAUGCAUCCACCUUCAUAUUCGUAUCCUAUGCCUGUUCCGGUUCCUGCUGGACCAGUUCCAAUGCAUCCAUCUCUGCAGCCCUAUCCUUUCUUCAGCAAUCAAAAUCCUGCAGUUGUUCCAAACCCCUGUUCAUCUUUUGUUCAAUACAUGACUCCCAAUACGUCAAUUGAACAGCAAUCGGCUCAGUAUAUGCCUCCAAUAGUCCCGCCUGGUAAUAUGACCAGACAAGACACUAGAAACAAGUCAUCAGAUCAAGGAGAGAGCAGGAUUGAGAAAAGUGAAGAUUCCAAUGAAGUGGCAACAGAUUUAGAGCUUAAGACACCUGGAUCUGCAUCUGAUCAGGUUAGUUAGGACUGCUAAUUAACUUGGCCUACUUUCCCUUCAAGGAAUCCCAAUUUAUUUGACCUGUUUCUUAGAUGGCCAAAUAUUUUAUUACUUGUGGUAACUGGCACCAAGUAGCUGCUGUGAUGUAAAAACAACCCACCCCUACCCUGGGGUAGAGAGGUUGUUUCCAAAUAGACCCCCGACAUCCUUCCCUCCAAGAANNNNNNNNNNNNNNNNNNNNNNNNNNNNNNNNNNNNNNNNNNNNNNNNNNNNACCCCCGACAUCCUUCCCUCCAAGAACUUCCCACCUUGCUCUUGGGGAGACUCGAACUCACAACCUCUCGGUUGGAAGUGGGGGUUGCUGUGAUGUGUAAAUUACAAAAUGCAAAAACUCAGUUCCUUUCCUGCGCAUACAAUGAACUACUGAAAUCUAUCAAGCUAUUCAACUACUCUUAUUUUACUCUUGAGUUGCCUCAAUUUCACUUCUACAAAACUACUUCACUUUUAUAUACUUCAACUAGCCCAUUAAGCAUAGAUUUUACUUUCUCCAUUAUAAUGAUAACCGUCAUCCUUCAAGCUUUCUUUUCUUAAUCUAUUGCUAGUGAAAGAGAAUUCAACAAAAGAGGAAAACAGGGAAUCUUCUAUGGCCUAAAGGAACUUUGGCAAAUUAAAUAUACCAUCAUGACAUGCUUGCAAAUUUUGCAGGAUCAUUCAUCUGGAC